GAUGAACGCUGGCGGCGUGCCUAAUACAUGCAAGUCGAGCGAACAGACGAGGAGCUUGCUCCUCUGACGUUAGCGGCGGACGGGUGAGUAACACGUGGAUAACCUACCUAUAAGACUGGGAUAACUUCGGGAAACCGGAGCUAAUACCGGAUAAUAUAUUGAACCGCAUGGUUCAAUAGUGAAAGACGGUUUUGCUGUCACUUAUAGAUGGAUCCGCGCCGCAUUAGCUAGUUGGUAAGGUAACGGCUUACCAAGGCAACGAUGCGUAGCCGACCUGAGAGGGGGAUCGGCCACACGGGAGCUGAGACACGGACCAGACUCCUACGGGAGGCAGCAGUAGGGAAUCUGCCGCAAUGGGCGAAAGCCUGACGGAGCGACGCCGAGUGAGUGAUGAAGGUCUUCGGAGCGUAAAACUCUGUUAUUAGGGAAGAACAAAUGUGUAAGUAACUAUGCACGUCUUGACGGUACCUAAUCAGAAAGCAACGGCUAACUACGUG
rnacentral:rRNA from 1 species